rnacentral:rRNA from 1 species
UGAAAAUGGAGGGGAUGAGUUGUGGAUAGGGGUGAAAGGCCAAUCAAACACCGUGAUAGCUGGUUCUCCCCGAAAUGCAUUUAGGUGCAGCGUUGCGUGGUUCUUGUUGGAGGUAGAGCACUGGAUGGUCUAGGGGGCUUAUCGGCUUACCGAAAUCAGCCAAACUCCGAAUGCUGGCAAGUGUAGCGUGGCAGUGAGACGGCGGGGGAUAAGCUUCGUCGUCGAGAGGGAAACAGCCCAGAUCAUCAGCUAAGGCCCCUAAGUGGUAACUGAGUGGGAAAGGAUGUGGAGUUGCGUAGACAACCAGGAGGUUGGCUUGGAAGCAGCCAUCCUUGAAAGAGUGCGUAAUAGCUCACUGGUCAAGUGAUUCCGCGCCGAUAAUGUAGCGGGGCUUAAGUUAUUCGCCGAAGCUGUGGCAACCGUGUUCGGUUGGGUAGGGGAGCGUCGUGUCAGUGGUGAAGCUGCCGGGUGACUGUGUGGUGGAGUUGAUGCGAGUGAGAAUGCAGGCAUGAGUAGCGUUUGACGGGUGGGAAUCCCGUCCGCCGAUUAUCCAAGGGUUCCAGGGUGAAGUUUGUCUGCCCUGGGUGAGUCGGGUCCUAAGGCGAGGCCGACAGGCGUAGUCGAUGGGUAACCAGUUGAUAUUCUGGUACCGGCUUGUCACCGUCCGUGUCGAGGUGUGUGAUGCUAAGCAUGUGAGCUUGUCUUGGGAGUGUUUUUGAUGCUUCUGGGGUGGGUGAGUGUGUGAACCGAUCAUGUAGUAGGCAAGCUGCGGAGGGACGCAGUGAGGUAGCUCAUCCCCGGUGAUGGUUGUCCGGGGCUAAGUGUGUGGACUGUCUGGUAGGUAAAUCCGCUGGGCGUGUAAGUUGAGGCAUGAUGGCGAGCCUGCGUGUGUGGGUGAGUGAGUGAUCCUGUACUGUCGAGAAAAGCUUCGUGAGCGAGGUGGUGUGUCCGCCCGUACCCUAAACCGACACUGGUGGAUAGGUAGAGUAUACUGAGGCGUUCGAGUGAAUCGUAGUGAAGGAACUCGGCAAAAUGCCCCCGUAACUUUGGGAUAAGGGGGACCUGAGCUGUCGUGCACCCGUGCGGUGUGGUGGCGGUGAGGGGCGCAGAGUCCAGGGGGAAACGACUGUUUACCAAAAACACAGGUCCGUGCGAAGUCGUAAGACGAUGUAUACGGACUGACUCCUGCCCGGUGCUGGAAGGUUAAGGGGAACUGUGAGUGUAUGCGUAGCGGUGAACUUAAGCCCCAGUAAACGGCGGUGGUAACUAUAACCAUCCUAAGGUAGCGAAAUUCCUUGUCGGGUAAGUUCCGACCUGCACGAAUGGAGUAACGAUUUCCCUACUGUCUCCACUACGAACUCGGUGAAAUUGCAGUACGAGUAAAGAUGCUCGUUACGCGCAGCAGGACGGAAAGACCCCGGGACCUUUACUAUAGUUUGGUAUUGGUGAUUGGGAUGAUUUGUGUAGGAUAGGUGGGAGACGUUGAUGCGGCCACGCUAGUGGUGGUGGAGUCGUUGGUGAAAUACCACUCUGAUUGUUCUGGUUAUCUCACUGUGGACCGUGAUCCGGUUCAAGGACAGUGCCUGAUGGGUAGUUUGACUGGGGCGGUCGCCUCCUAAAGGGUAACGGAGGCGCCCAAAGGUUCCCUCAUCCUGGUUGGUAAUCAGGUGGUGAGUGUAAGUGCACAAGGGGGCUUGACUGUGAGACUGACAGGUCGAGCAGGGACGAAAGUCGGGACUAGUGAUCUGACGGUGGCUUGUGGAUGCGCCGUCACUCAACGGAUAAAAGGUACCCCGGGGAUAACAGGCUGAUCUUGCCCGAGCGCUCAUAGCGACGGCAUGGUUUGGCACCUCGAUGUCGGCUCGUCGCAUCCUGGGGCUGGAGUUGGUCCCAAGGGUUGGGCUGUUCGCCCAUUAAAGCGGCACGCGAGCUGGGUUCAGAACGUCGUGAGACAGUUCGGUCCCUAUCCGCUGCGCGCGGAGGAAUCUUGAGAAGGGCUGUCUUUAGUACGAGAGGACCGAGACGGACUGACCUCUGGUGUGCCAGUUGUUCUGCCAAGAGCAUGGCUGGUUGGCUACGUCGGGUUAUGAUAACCGCUGAAAGCAUCUAAGCGGGAAGCAUGCUUCAAGAUGAGGGUUCCUGCAGGAGUGUUCCUGGUAAGGUCUCCGAGAGAUGAUCGGGUUGAUAGGCCAGAUGUGGACGCAUUGUAAGGUGUGGAGCUGACUGGUACUAAUAGACCGAGGACUUUCAUUA